CCUGACCCUAGAGACACUGCAGGUACAGCUGCUGUGUUAUAUGUGGGCCAGUAGGUGGCAGAGAGGAGAGAGGCUAAGCUCAGACUUCAGACCUGUGAAUGACUGAAUGAUUAGUAGUCUAACAUU
ensembl:snoRNA LOC120101307 small nucleolar RNA SNORA17